AGGGGUGCAGGAUAAACUGCUGGAUUCCGUGGGCUCACUAGCCAGAAUCAUGUACCUGGCUGAUGAUGCACUAACUAGAGCCGAUCAGUCCGACAUCACCAUGGUCCGCGAAUGGGCCCAUGACGUACGGGAGUGGGCACAAAGAUGCUUUUGUUUUGUGGGUAAUACCAAUGUCGCCCUCUCCUCCGAGUGGCGCAAAGCAGCACUACUC